GAGCUGAUUAUAACCACAGCUCCAUAUGGAACUCAUCAAGGGUUACCACCGCAGCUGUGGCGCAUUAGCACAUGAGACGCACACUGGAAAUGUCUCCAUGCAAAGCAUCCACUGAAAAAUGGAAUUAGCUUUCACAAUCACGGAAGCCAAGAAGACCUACAGUUAUCUGCCAGCCAGAGACCCAGAAGAGCCAGUGCUGUACUUCAGUCUGAAGUUCUGAGUCUGAGGUCUGAGAACUGGGGGAGCCGAUGGUGUAAGCCCUAGUCCAAGGGCAGGAGAAGAUAAGUCCCAGCUAAGCCGUGAGGCAGGGAAUAGGGUCAGGUUCUUCCUUCCUGCAUCUAUUCUUCUAUCCCAGCCAUGAAUGGAUUGGAUGAUUUUGUACCCACAUCAGGGAGAGAAUCUGCUUCACAGGGUCCAUGGAUUCAAGUGCCAAUGUCUCCAAAAACUCCCUCCCAGACAUCCCCAGAAAUGAUCUGGGGAUGAUCUCGGUACCUCGUGACCAGGAGCAGCAUAUUUCAAAUGCGAGGAUACAGGAGAACAGAAUCUUUCACAUCGCUGUUGUUGCUGUUUAGUUGCCGAGUCACGUCUGACUCUUCGCGAUCCCGUGGACUUUAAGCCCACCAGGCUCACUUGUUCACGGGAUUUUCCAGGCAACAAUACUGGAGUGGGUUGCCACUUCCUCCUCCAGGGGAUCUUCCUGACCCAGGGAUUGAACCUGAGUCUCUUUCAUUGGCAGGUGGAUUCUUUACCACUGAUUCACCUAGGAAGCCCAUCUUUCACAUUAGAGACGGUAGCCUCGUUUGCCUCCUCUGUCCAUGGGAUUCUCCAGGCAAGAGUACUAGAGUGGGUUGCCAUUUCCUCCUCCAGGAGAUCUUUCUGAUCCAGGAUUCAACCCAAGUCUCCUGUGUCUACUGCACUGCAGGUCUUCUUCUAUAGGCAUGAGCAAUUUAGAGAUUUAAUGCCUGGACAGCUUUGAAGUGAGAGCCCUCCUUUCAUCUUGACAACAAUAAAACUAUGAUGUGAAGAGAGAGAUUUCUGGCCAUAUCCAAUUUUUUGCUAGUCUUCAGUCCUCCUUUUACUCUUGCUUGCAUUUCUGUGUUCUAAAAUUGCAGUGGAGAUUCAGAAGCAGAUCAGUGAAUUUAUCUGCAUACAACAGUGUCUCAAACAGUCAUUUUAUGGCUUUGUGAAAGCAUCAUCUGAAAACAUGGUUGUUCUUUUAAAAUAUCAUGACACAAGCUUGUGCAAAUGCAUUCAACUGUAUUUAGCUGCUGUAGAAUAAUUUAAAUUGUCUAAUCUUCCAAAUUAGAAGAGUAGUAAAGUUGGUGAGAACUAGCCACAAGGUGAGGCGUGGUGAUGAUAGUAUUUACCUGUGUCUUAUCUAUUUCUAAAAAAUGUAAUCGUUCUCUGUUGGUUGUAUAAAAUUUUAUAAGACAUAAUUGAACUCAUUUUAAAGUCAUUAUAAUAAAA
ensembl:lncRNA